UCGGGAUCAGAUGCUUUCAAUGCUGCUCAAAGUUCUGGACUUAAUGCCCCGUUAUUUCGGCCCACGUGUUCCCGAGUGGGGAUCGCUAAAGUUAUUACGGGGGGAGGCCACGGUCAAUGGUCAAUUUUUCACAAACUUAGUUUAGUCUUGCAUCCGAUUUCGCACAGGAAAUACUUAUUUUUUUUAGUGAGCAAACUGUUUUUGGAUUUUUGUUCAACGGCAACCAGAGUUUGGAGCGCGAGUAAGCAACCCCGUUGGUUUAUUAUCAUCAGCGAAGGAUAAUAAAGGAAAGGAAGGAAAGCGCGAGAGGAUCGAGAUAACCGGUAGGACGUCGUGCACCCAGCAUAUACAUAUAUAUGUGUAUAUAUAUACAUAGCAGUAUUCUGAAAAGCUGAAACUCCGUAACGGGUGACGGAGAACGGGAGAAAGAGAAAAGGGAGGAAGGGAAACCUAGAGUUUUCCUCCACCCCCAGUGGCACCUUCAACUCACCCUCCGAACAACGACGACGUCGAGCGAUUUUCCUUCUCUUGCUUGGCACACACCAGUCACUAGGAGGAGGGAAAAGGAGGAAAAGGAGGAAAUAGGGGGUAGUGAGAAGGAGAGUCGCCUUCAUUAGCAAACUUUCGUUUAAAAUUUUCCGAGAAAAACAACAAAGGACGAGAUGUCAAUGGACCCAAGUAAGCAGACUAGAGCUUACAGGAAGGAGUUUGACAGCCGUAUAUGUAAGAAUAAGUUACCAUGGGACGAUGAAAUGCGAUGUAUGUUUUCCUGGCCAAGAGAAUGAGAAUGAGAAUGAGAAGGAGUGAAAACGGGAGAGGGUAUUGGAGACGCGAUGUUGCCGGAUCAAUUUCGGUGGACCGCAGACACAAACUGUUUCACAGUGGACUCAAUCGAGCGCGUCUAUUGUAGUUUCUCGCUUUCUGCAAGCUCCAUUGAUCAGCUCUCCCCAACGAGGACUACAAACCAUUCCUUCAUUUUCCUGUCCUUACUCCUCUUCCUUUUCCUGUCCUUACUCCUCUUCCUUUUACUCCUUCUUCCUUCAACUCCAAUUCUUCCUUUUCUCCGAAUAUUAAACCAUCUCUUUUCAUUUUACUCCUCCAUUCGUCUCCGGUUCCAAGUCCUUGUCUCCAAAAUUCACUACCACCAUUACCAGUAUGCAAAAACCAGGGAUCCCAACUCCCACCCAACUCCCAACUACCAGACCAACUACCGCCCAAACCAACACUUGUCUCAUAACUCCAAUUUCAAGUCGACUUAAAUUUCACAUUUAAAUUACCAACGACGCCACGUUGCCGGAUAAAGAUUUCAGUUCAUGAAAGGAGACACUAUUUAAUAUUAUUAUGAAUUUUAAAUAAAAAAUGCUCCUUUUUUUUUGUCUUUUCUCAGGCUCGUUCAUGUUAGCGUUAAUUUUAUUUGUGGGUAAGAGGGUUUUAAUAAAAAGAUACAUUACCGGUGAGGAAAAUCGCCGAGUUGGAAAGAGAGUGUGUAUAGUAAGGCAUAGUGCGCUUGGGUAAUCAAGCAUCUGUUUUAUUUCGAGCAUAUCAGGGCAAACGUGUGUUUUGGUCACACACACAGAUUCAAAUCUCCUAACCAGUGUCUAAGAGGUAACAGACGCUUUACUACCGUACGCAUUACCCGAGUCUUUUAAUUAACCAUUUAAUGCUAACUUAUUUUUAACUUCUUUUUGUUGAGUGGAAAAUAAAUACUUUUUCUUUUGUGUUUUGUUUUACGCGGGCUCUUUAGAGGCGAAACAUCUUUCGAAGGCUCUUCGCUUCGACGGUCUAUCGAUUUAUCAAUUAGUCGUAAAACAAUUUCAGUAGCCUGACAAUUACGCCAGACAUCGUUCCUUUGAUGUCUCGUCUCUUUGUUGGCUGGAAAAAUUUUUAUAAUUUCUCGUUAGAGUUAUUACCGGACAGACUUGUGUCCAUUAUUGCCAAUAAUGCCUCAGAUUUUCUGUUAAAGUAACAGUAGUUUUUUAUAUUUACGAGCUCGUAAACUGGGAGAAUAAAAAAGGGAAAAUAGAAAAUGAUCUGAGUCCUUUGAAAUGCUCUAACCCUCAUUCCGUCUUUUAUAACCCGAGAAACUCGUAGCCGUAAGAAGAGAGUUCGGUUCACAAGGAGUUUUCCCGUGGCGUCUCUCUGAAUUCCAAUUAAAAUUUUCUUCUCUAAAAACAGAAGAGCCCUGGAGGAUGAAUGGAUGAAACGAAGUGGGUGGAACCCGGCACCAUCGGCGAGGUGAACAAGGUAGCUUGGGGUGUUCCAGCAAAAGGAACGGGGCGGCUUUCCGGACUUGCAGCCCGGAGGGUAAAGCGGGAGGUAUCUAGAAGCGGGGUUCAAGAAACGAGCAAGAAAGUAGAUUAUAAAAGCAAGAGAGAGAACGUAAUUAAAGAAGGGGCGGAACACUACGGUGUAUACUUAUUCCAGAUACGGAAAAUAUAAGGGGUAGUUUUAGUUUUAAGGGGCUCCAAGGGGCCUACGGGAAGGGUAAUUCUCCAAGGAAUCUCAGUUUGUUUUUAUAUAACGGGGCAGAAUGGCUCUAGUUCAAAGUUUAAUUUCCUCCUUUUCCUUUCUUUCUCCUCCUUUCCUUUCAGAACAUUAUUUUUAUUUAAAUCAUAAUAAACUUUUACUCAGAUCCAAGAUGGAGUUUCUUAAGCAUUAAAUUUUAUUUCUUUGAGAGCUAGUUUGCAAGUAUAAGUUUCCCUUUAAAUAUAUAACAAGGGUCUGAAAAUUCUUCACAGCCAACUCUGGGGAGGAAUUUUCGGGCACAAGGAAGAGGAAUUUUUUCAUCGUAUUGCUGUCAAAAAAUACAAUAGAGAAUUUUCUUGUUGAUUUGUAGGAUCGAUACCUGGUGCCUUCCCCUAGGUAACUUCAGAUUCAAAUUCGCAAGGAAGAAUAAAAAUCCGAAGAAUUUUUGCAAACUAAAUGAACGAGCUAAGGAAAAGUAAAUGAACGAGCAAAGUAAAGUAGAAUUCGCGAUGUGGUGGGGAGUGUAACGGUUUUAGUAUUAAGAAGAGAGUACUACUGAGCAUGGACCGCCCCAGUCAGGGGGGAAGGGGGAGUUGAUAUUUAAAUCUCCCCUUUUAUAAUUUCACCUCUCUUGCGUCCAUAGAACCCUACAGCCCGCGCUCACUCGACGGCCCACUCCCCCAAGUCUCCUGAUACCCCGCUCCCCUUCUCCUUCUAACCCCGAACCCCCAUUUUAUCCCCUUAUUCAACGUCACCCUCGCUCUUUAUAGUAUCUCACCCGUUUUAACGUUCUUUCUCUCACGGUUCUUUUCUUCUUUCUCUCUUAUACUCAGCUACCGCUCACUCUCUAUGAGUACACGCCAACGCUUCGCCGGCCGCCAUCAUGAAAAUAUUAAGAACUCGGAAAAUGGCCGCCCACUUGCGCUCACCAUCUAAGGAAGGUAUCCAAGGAAAAUUUUUAACUGUUUGUCUCGGUAAUUAAUUCAUUUUUUCCAUUCCGAUGGACAAGGAGGAGUUUCACUUCCGCCAGAAAUGAGCCAUUGGGAGGGGGAAAGAAAAAAAUCAAUGAAGGAUUGAAUAGUCAGUAGGAAUGGGUUCUAUUCGAUACUGAUCUGAUCAAUCAGGGCCAAGUAUUUGAUUUUUCGGGUCUUAGUUUAUUCAAGUUUACUAAGAUGUGGGAGCCGAAUCUUUGGCGGGUUUAGGAGAAAUCUGGGGUGAAAGUAAAAGUUAAACCGAGAGCUCGUACGCGUUGUAGUGUGACAAGCUGUGAAGGGUGACGACAUCAAGGGGGUGAGAUUUGUCCCACAUUCGCUGCUCUGCUCUCUACGCUGCUUCUGCGUAUGUGUACAUAGAAGAGAAUGCUUACAUACAUGCUUCAGAAUUUUUGGAGGGGAUCGCAGAAUCCUCAAGUGAAUUUACACAGAAAAAGAUUUCUUGCCCUAAGAAAUUUUUUGCAGUUUGAAUUGAAAAUCAAAAUUUUUUAGGGUGGGAAAAAAUUUCUUACAUCAACAAAUCCCUUUUUCUGUGUAAAGAUUUAAAUGAUCUGGUAAUAAAUCUAGAAAAUAAAAUUGAUAUUUUUUUUAUUGCACACCUAAGGGUGUUUAUGAACGGUUUGUUUUUUUUCGAGUAUUUUACUCACGAAAAUAUUUCUACACUCUUUCAAUUACACCAAAAUAGGUAAAAUUGUGUAUUAGCAUAUAGAGAAUUUAUUAAGGAACAAUUUGAAUCCAAUAUUAAGUCGAUUCGUUAUUUUAUUAGUUUAAAAUAAAUUACUUUAACUCAAGAAACCAGUGCUGUCAAUUGUUACGUAUGAAACUUCGUAGACACGAUAACUCUCGAUAGACACAAUUAAUCGGCCCAACUUUUUUUUUAUUAUCUUUGUAUUUUUUAUCACAAGAACCCUAUGGAAAAUCAUAAUCUAAAUCCUUUUAGUUUAAUUGUAAUUAAUUAAAAACGUAAAACUGAUUAUUCACGAAAAAUUUAGCCGCCAUUUUUAUUUUUACUGUUGUUAUUAUUUUUUUCAUUUUUUUUCUCCAUCAGCUACUGGCAGCAGCACUAACGUACCAGUAUAGGUUUGAAAAAAAAGAGUGACAUCUAAGACAAAAAGGCGGGAUAUUUAAAAAAAAUGUUAAUAAAAAAAUAAUAAACUGAAAAUAAUAAAUAAAAAAAUCAAAUUGAUAAUUUAUAAGUCGAAUAAAAAUUCAUAAUAAAAAAAAAAUAAAUUAAUAUUAUAAAAUAAAAGUAAUGAUUAAAAAUAAAAUGAGCGAUUGAGGUGUGCACUUUUGGAUUUUCCUACAUUUACUUACUAAUUUUUUUUUCUCAGAUUUGUCGAGUAAAAAUAAGUAAAAAAAUGUUUUAUCGAGUUUUUGAACGUGAUAAAUUUAUGCAAGACUGCAACGGAUGACUUCUUCUACGUCUUAGAGAGUAGCAUUAACGGUAAUAUGUCUUCGUCAGCGGACGCCAUCUUAGCUGAAGGAUAAGAAGGAGUUCUGAUGGUGGUACUGGAACUAGUGCUGGUGCUGGUGCUGGUACUGGUGUUGGAACCGGAGUCUAGUAUGGGGUAGCUGAGGAGAGGGUAUGAAACGAUUAAGAAAAUGAAGAUGGAUACUACGGGAUAAAGGAGAUAUAGGUUGGGUGGAAGGUGGCUGGUCGAUGGAACGCCCCCUCCUCUUCUCCCUUAAACUCCUUCGGGUGGAUGAUGGUAAAGAGAUGAGUAUAAGAGAGUUUGGUAUGAGUAGAAAGCGAUGAGAAGAAGCUCAGUGAUGCCGUUCGAGUGCUGGUGUCUGAGUACAAGAGGGUGGUAACCGGGCGAUCAGCAAGAAAUAGCUUAGAAGAGCGUUUGAUCGGCUGGAAGAUACUCGACACGUCGGUUUAAUCAUUCGGAAUCAUUCCCGAAACACCCUCAUUUAUUUUAUCCCUCGUGUCGUUACCUCACUUCACUGUUUGUACUCACACACCUUCUUGUUUAAUUAACUGUUUAUAUUUGAUACUUUUUUUCCUUCAAUUUGGUUUUUCACGCCAGUUUUUCCAA